rnacentral:tRNA from 1 species
GUUAUCGUAGCUCAAUGGUAGAGCAAGUCACUGUUAAUGACCUGAUAGUGGUUCAAUUCCAUUCGGUAACG